AAUUAUCAACCUUGUUCGCUUUUACGAGCUUGAGCGAGGCUUGGAUGUGAGGGCUUGCUGGCUUCCUUCAGUGGAUGGUCUGCUCCCUUUAAAUGCAUUAGUGGGAUCUCUUGUGGACCGUCACUUGGUGUGAUAAUUAUCUAUGCCAGUUGACUUUGAAGCAAACUUUAUGGGAACCCGCUCAUAACCGUCUCGCAAGAGACAACUUUGACA
rnacentral:misc_RNA from 1 species